CACGGAGUUAGCCGAUCCUUAUUCAUAAGGUACAUGCAAAGCAGUAUACAUACUGCACUUUAUUCCCAUAUAAAAGAAGUUUACAACCCAUAGGGCAGUCAUCCUUCACGCUACUUGGCUGGUUCAGGCUAGCGCCCAUUGACCAAUAUUCCUCACUGCUGCCUCCCGUAGGAGUUUGGACCGUGUCUCAGUUCCAAUGUGGGGGACCUUCCUCUCAGAACCCCUAUCCAUCGAUGCCUUGGUGGGCCGUUACCCCGCCAACAAGCUAAUGGAACGCAUCCCCAUCGAUGACCGAAAUUCUUUAAUAGUCCUACCAUGCGGAAGAACUAUGCCAUCGGGUAUUAAUCUUUCUUUCGAAAGGCUAUCCCCGAGUCAUCGGCAGGUUGGAUACGUGUUACUCACCCGUGCGCGGUCGCCAUCAAACUUAGCAAGCUAAGUUCAUGCUGCCCCUCGACUUGCAUGUGUUAAGCCUGUAGCUAGCGUUCAUCCUGAGCC
rnacentral:rRNA from 1 species